CAGCAGCCGCGGUAAUACGUAGGGGGCGAGCGUUGUCCGGAAUUACUGGGCGUAAAGGGUGCGUAGGCGGCCAAAUAAGUCAGCUGUGAAAUACCGGGGCUUAACCCCGGGGGUGCAGUUGAAACUGUAUGGCUUGAGUGCAGGAGAGGAAAGCGGAAUUCCUAGUGUAGCGGUGAAAUGCGUAGAGAUUAGGAGGAACACCUGUGGCGAAGGCGGCUUUCUGGACUGUAACUGACGCUGAGGCACGAAAGCGUGGGUAGCGAACAGGAUUAGAUACCCUGGUAGUCCACGCCGUAAACGAUGGAUACUAGGUGUAGGGGGUAUCGACCCCUUCUGUGCCGUAGUUAACGCAAUAAGUAUCCCGCCUGGGGAGUACGUGCACAAGCAUGAAACUCAAAGGAAUUGACGGGGACCCGCACAAGCAGCGGAGCAUGUGGUUUAAUUCGAAGCAACGCGAAGAACCUUACCAGGUCUUGACAUCCCGGUGACCGGUAUAGAGAUAUACCUUUCCUUCGGGACACUGGAGACAGGAGGUGCAUGGCC
rnacentral:rRNA from 1 species